rnacentral:rRNA from 1 species
UACGUAGGGGGCUAGCGUUGUCCGGAAUCAUUGGGCGUAAAGAGCGUGUAGGCGGACCGGUAAGUCCGUUGUGAAAGUCAGGGGCUCAACCCUUGAAUGCCGGCGGAUACUGUCGGGCUAGAGUCCGGAAGAGGCAAGUGGAAUUCCCGGUGUAGCGGUGAAAUGCGCAGAUAUCGGGAGGAACACCGAUGGCGAAGGCAGGUCUCUGGGCCAUAACUGACGCUGAGAAGCGAAAGCAUGGGGAGCGAACAGG